GGGCCGCAUAGGCGGGCAGGUGCGCGAGAUCCACGAUCUCGCCGGCGCCGAUGAUUGCAAUCGGCACCUUGUGCUCGGGGCGCACGCGGAUUUC
rnacentral:tRNA from 1 species